AUUGAACGCUGGCGGCAGGCCUAACACAUGCAAGUCGAACGAGUGGCGGACGGGUUAGUAAUGUCUUUGAAACUGCCUGAUUGAUGGGGAUAACUACUGGAAACGUUAGCUAAUACCGCAUACCAUCAGAUGUGCCCAGAUGGGAUUAGCUUGUUUGUGGGGUAACGGCUCACCAAGGCGACGAUCCCUAGCUGGUCUGAGAGGAUGACCUGCCACACUGGAACUGAGACACGGACCAGGUGCCUACGGGCGGCGGCCGUGGGGAAUAUUGCACAAUGGGCGAAAGCCUGAUGCAGCCAUGCCGCGUGGAUGAAGAGGGACUUAGGGUAGUAAAGUACUUUCAGCGGGGAGGCGUACCACGUAGAAGAAGAACCGGCUAACUCCGUGCCAGCAGCCGCGGUAAUUC
rnacentral:rRNA from 1 species